rnacentral:rRNA from 1 species
GAUGAACGCUGGCGGCGUGCCUAAUACAUGCAAGUCGAGCGAACAGACGAGGAGCUUGCUCCUCUGACGUUAGCGGCGGACGGGUGAGUAACACGUGGAUAACCUACCUAUAAGACUGGGAUAACUUCGGGAAACCGGAGCUAAUACCGGAUAAUAUAUUGAACCGCAUGGUUCAAUAGUGAAAGACGGUUUUGCUGUCACUUAUAGAUAGAUCCGCGCCGCAUUAGCUAGUUGGUAAGGUAACGGCUUACCAAGGCAACGAUGCGUAGCCGACCUGAGAGGGUGAUCGGCCACACUGGAACUGAGACACGGUCCAGACUCCUACGGGAGGCAGCAGUAGGGAAUCUUCCGCAAUGGACGAAAGCCUGACGGAGCAACGCCGCGUGAGUGAUGAAGGUCUUCGGAUCGUAAAACUCUGUUAUUAGGGAAGAACAAAUGUGUAAGUAACUAUGCACGUCUUGACGGUACCUAAUCAGAAAGCCACGGCUAACUACGUG